GUAGGUGAACCUGCGGAAGGAUCAUUAUCGAAUGAACAUGGAGUCGGUUGUCGUUGGCCCCCUUUACCGGGGGCAUGUGCACGUCUUCUCUAUUCAUCCACACAUAUCUGUGAACUUGUGAGACGGAUAGUAGUUCUUUUAGGGGGACGAGGUUCGUUUGUUAAUACAUAAAUUCUAAUCAUAUAAAUUUGAAUGUUAUUUGAUGUAACGUAUCUAUAAAUUAAGUUUCAACAACGGAUCUCUUGGUUCUC
rnacentral:misc_RNA from 1 species